rnacentral:lncRNA from 1 species
GCAAUAAUGGCGUUGAUGGAAAAAAGAAAAUAUAUAUCUGUGAUCUAGUGACCCAACUCAGCAACUUCUCAACUGACGAAGCAUUUUACUUGUUUACUAGAGGCCCGUACUCAUACAGAUUCAACUGUGCAAGACGAUGCAAUGUAUGUAUAAUGUAGAAAACUAUUAUAGACGAUAUUUCACCCCUUAAUAAACUGAGUACUAAAAUGUUUAAAGUGCAAGGUAUUUCUCUAUCGUAUUAUAUAUGUCGAAGGUAACCUAGUAUUUCUGUCUGAAUGUCACGUUAUAUAUGUUAUAUAACUUUUGUUUUGUCGCCUUGAAUACGUGUAAGUCGUGAUAUAAUAUUAUGUCGUAAAAAAUCAUUUAUAUUAUGACGUCACUGUGACCAAAAUAAAAAAAAAACACAGAAAUACAUGCUUAUUAGAAAUGCUAAAUUGAAAAACAACGUAUUUCUCAUGUUUCUGUUGGAAAAGUUGUAGUUUCGAAAUUUUGGAAGGAUGUGCAAUAUUUAGAAAAGAGAAGGUAGGCAGAAAUUUAAUACAUUAACUGAUUAAGCUAGGUUUAAAUUGUCAUUGAAAAAUGGUUGUCAUGCAUGUAUAUUUGUAGUAGUUAAACAAUAAAGCAGAUAAAAUCAAACCAAACUGUCGCUAUCUCCUUUUUUCUGGGAAUUCUGUGGUAGCUACAUCUUUUCAGACAAUUCUCUUCAAUUAAAUCAAACCAAGAUCUGCGUAUCAUUUUCACGUGAUUUCUACUUCGCUUUUAUUGAAAAGAGACAUGAUUAUUCAAAAGGUUUUGACGACAAAAUUAUAUACCAUGACUCAUUCAACAUGUUUACAAUUUCAAAUUUUGCAAACAAAUGCAAGUCGCCUACACAGCAAAACACACAAGGGUAUGUAUAAAGGUGCACUGCCUUUAAAAAAAUUGUUUUCUCUAUAUUCAUAUUGAUCUUUAAAAAUAUUAAAUGCUGUCGAUCUUACCUUGGUAAAAGGUCUACUGUCGGUUGACUUUCAGGCAGCAAUUCAAACUUAAGAGUCUGCCGUUUGGUUGGGCCUUAUACCUGUGUCUCAAAAAACAGAAUAAUACAAAUGUGGUAUUUGCUAACCAACUCACGAAAUUAAAGAAUUGGAUUUACAUUCUGAAUUGUAUCUACCUUUCAGACUUUGACAGGAGAGUCAAAAGGAUCAAGCGGCUGUCAUUUCAAAUUUGAUGAUAGCAAAAAGGACAAUUUGGGUUGCCUUGCAAGACAUGCACUGUGCAAAAGACAAAGAGGGGG